rnacentral:lncRNA from 1 species
CCAUAUUAUUGAACUUUGCUGUGACUGAGAUAUAGAUAAAUUGUUUCUUUCCAUUACAUUAUUAUUAUAAGUUGAAUAAACCUGCACAAUUUCUCUGGUGUGGAUAGCUUUAUCAUUCAUCAAUGGCUUUGACAUGUGCUGCACCUCCUUGUGUAUUGAACAAGAUACCCUGAAAAUUGGAGAACCCACAGAUCCAUUGAAUAAUGCGGAAAUGGAUAGCUGGCUCUGCUAUUGGUGCCUAUUCCUCUUAUGAGGAUGCUUAAUCAGUUAGCUCGAACCGCUAUUAGAACCGUUCAAACAAAAUCAUGACAAUGUUUGAAGAAGAGAGGGAGUUGAAAUUCAAGUUUCAACCGAAAAUGUGAAUCAAUCAAUCGUUUGGAUCGAAUGUCUUGGAUAUCCUAAUUGCUCAUCCAUCCUCAAGUCGUCUCUGACUCUAAUUAUCAAGAUGUGUUUGCCGUCAUUGGAGUAGUUUAUUACUUACUAUUAGAUAAUUAUAUUAUUUAUUAGGUGUACUAACAACAUAGAUGGCGCUACAUAUAUUUUUUACUGUUGAAGAAGAGAUUCAACAGACUAAGUCAAGAGCUCUUGGAAAAACUUUACUGUCUGCAUAUCCCAUUUGAAGUUGAUGAAAUAUCCUGAAAAAAAUAAUUCUACUGGUGGACGAGGAGGUGUGAAGAUAGCUCUGGUUUCGUUACCUAUUUGUGUGAUUCCUUUGUAACUGUUAAUCCGUUAUUGAAUGCUAAGGAUCGGUGCUCUCACAUCACUCAGAUAAGUUACCUUUUUGAUAUUUUUUAGUUUAUUAAACCGAAUAAUAAAUGUACAGUAGAUCCCACUUAAGCUGGAUCGACAAAAUCUGUGCGCUCUUAAAAGAAAUACUACUUAUCGAAUUAAUUAUGUGGUCUAUUAUAUCUAAUUCGGGACUUAAACAAAUUCCCGUAUUAAGUGUGUACGCCUUCACCGCAUUCUACGAUAUUUAUAUAUUAAUAAGGCUCAGGGUGGCUUAUAUUGAGUCUUUAAAAUUCUGUAAAGCUAUGGGUUUUUGUUUUGCAACUUUAACAUUUUGUUCAUACAGGUUAUAACUUGUUCACGACAUAUCGGGUGCGAUGCUGAAAUCUGAACACUGGGUUUUUGGCAAAUCGAGAGGUUCUUUUGAGUGUUUUAGCAAUAUUCUGUAUGUCCUUUAGUAAUUAAAAAAUUGCAAACUUCUUCUUCUUCAUCUUUCUACAGUUUCACACAAUGGAUUUUAAACAGACAAUAUCUUUCUAUAUUGUAUUUACAAAAUAUUUUGUUAAAAUUUAAUAGCUAUUGCUCAUUUAAUUUCCAGAGGUAAUUAUAUAUUAUAUGAAGGUACUGCACUUUUAUUCGUUGGUAAUUCAAAUUUAAUUAUAAUUUUGGUAAUCGGAUGUGAUACAAAUUUAUAAUAUACAAAAUCUCCAGCUAAUCCAUGCAACUCAUCCCAAUAUCUUAUUAUGUCGGUGAUAAUAAUUUUUUUUAUUGAUAGCUAAACUUUCUCCAAAUUCCACAUUUUUUCUUCCCUUCCUAUCCUCAAGAAUCAAUUCAUCCGCCCUCACAUAGGAUAGUGUCUCUUCUGCCACAUCCAGGUUUCUUCCAAAAUUUAUGAUGUCAUUGUCCUUUAUUUACAUGGAAUAUAUACAUAUACUCCUUGGACCCAAAAAUUACAACCUAAAAUCAUAUUUUUGUUGAAUGCUCCAUCCUUCAAUGAACGUCUUCCUUUAAAAUUUGGGUAAUUCAAUUUCCCAAAAAUCUUGAAAUUAAUUAUUUCAGGGUAAUUCAAUACAAAUCCCUCAUUCUUUUGAGCAUUUCGAGUGUUUCUAUAUUCUCUUUUGGGAUGAAUACUCUUUUUAGUUUCCUAAUUGUUGGAAAUACUUGAUAUCCUCCUACAAUCUACAGGCACAUAAUAUGUAAAUAAGUUUUAAGUUAUAUUCCCUUAUAAUGGUAUUUAAUGGCUGAACACUGGGCAUAAUUAUAAAUUGACUAAUUCAAGUGAGCCCUCGACUUAUUUUGAUACUCUUUGUUCCCCCAAAUUCAUACCUUCAAUCUUUGUGUGGAUGAAAUCACUUUUGAAGGAUGAUUUUGACAUAAUUGACUCCAACAAGUCCAUGGAUGAUGGUCCAAUCUUAGAUUCAGCUAGACUUACAAAUUGAUCAUUUUUUUGCUCGAAGAUACCCCUUCACAUCCCUAGAGGAGUACCAAUCUCUUAAUUUUAACAAAUACUUUCUGGAUCAAUGACUGGCUGUCUUCAUGCACAAUUAAUUCAGAAUUGCUGUCUUUAAUCUUAGAGAGUACUGACGUUAUUGGAAAAUUGAUAUAAUAAGUCAUCAAUUUUUCUUCAGUAGUGGGUUCCCGAGUGAGGCUGCUCAUGGUAACCUUAACGACAAGUAUUUCGGCUUCAACCUCAAUAUCACCACUGCUACUAUUACUUAAUUCGGCUUUUGAUUGAGAAGAAUAUCCACAUAUGUUAAGUAGAUAAAUGAGUGGAUUCCUUUCUUUCCGUCGUUUUGGUACAUCUGUAUCUUCAUCAUUAGUCAUGGGCAUUAUUGGGUUAGGCUCACUCUUGUUCAUGCAUAUCAUAAUGUUGUACUUUCUAAUAAGUUUCACGUAAAUAUGUUCCUUGCACUUCAAUUUUCUUAAUUUUGUACUUCAGGUGCAUCAUGUUGGUACUCGAAUGUUAAUCCCAACUGUUUAAUUGAGUUAAUUAUGUUCCAUCCCAGCUAGGAAGUUCCAAGUUAUAUCGUUGUACCGCAUAUUUAAAAUAUUUGUUUCUUCUUUAUUGAUUUCUUUUUGAAGCGAUUAGACAUCUUUAUACAAAACAUUAUUCUUUUCUUAAGUUCUUCUUAAUUUGAGGCCUUUAUAAAAAGGUAGUUGUCGUCACUAUAAAAUUGAAAUGCAUUUUAUUUUACUUUCUCAAAGUCCUAAUCCAAGAAAAUCACAACGAGUUAUUUUGUUCAUUAGACGUAGAAAUGUUAAAUUAAAUAUAUAAGGUGAUAUUCAAAUAAAAAAAUCACUUAAGUUACCAAAUGUAGGCUUUAUUAAACACUAAAUGGACCGAAGUAGGAAACACAAUAAUGAGUAAUGACAAAUAUACUACAAGCAACAAAAACGUAAGGGAGUAAACUCACAAGCCAACACAAUGAAUUUUAUAUCAUUCUUCCCCCCUCACAAAAGUUCACACGUAAUCACUCAAAUACGCAGGUUUACUUCGGAUACGGUUAGAUCUCCUGAUGACAGGGACUGGCAGUUCUGUCCAUGUACCUGCUUCUCCGUUCACUUAAAAAGUAGCAUCUUCUUGAGGGGUUACAGUUACCUUGGGAAGGACUAUACCUCUAUUCGUAACUUCCUUUAAUGGUUCAAGAUUCUCACAAUCAAGCUCUUUGGGGGCUAUGUGCUCUAAAGAUAGAUUGGAUUCCCCUCCAUUUGUGAGCCGGAAUCAAACAUAAUCGAGAUUUGCUGACACGAGCUCUACCUCAUCUACGAUAGAGUCGUAUUUGCUUUUUCUAACUUUUCUUUUUAAGUAUACACCCCCGGGUCUCAUUAACCAAGAUGGAAGAGCUUAACUUUUGGUUGUUUUCCUAUUAAAGUUCAACAUUCUCUCAUGGGGUGUACAAUUCGUAGAAGUACAUUGUAAAGAUCGGAUAGAAUGCUGGGCAUCCCUCAGAUAUUCGUUCCACUCUUCUACCUGCAUGUCUCUUUUCUUCCGCAUUAAAGUGAUCGAGCGCCAAAUUUCUAAGCAAAGAUCUCAUUUUUCUUCUCGUUAUAUACGGACUCCAAGAGACACGCGGCAGAAGAAUAAGUUAUACACUCAGAUAUAUAUUCAUACACCUCAGAGCUGCCAUAAUGAGAGAGGAGUUUACUUUUAUCACUUUCCUGAGUUUGGAAGCCAGCAGGAACCACACGCGUGAUGAAAUUCUUGAAUGAGUUUAUUUAAUGUAUCCAAACCAUUGAGGCUAAGGCGUUGCUGGGAUCAGCUUCAAAACGCUCAGGUUUCAAGUAUUUUUCCAUACUUAUUUUUUGUAUGUUUUAUUUUUGUAAUUGUGUUUAAUAAAUUGAAAUAAGAAAAUCCCUUAAGUUACCAAAUGUAGGCUUUAUUAAGCACAAAAUAGACUGAAGUAGGAAACAUAAUAAUGAAUAAUGAUAAAUAUACUACUAGCAACAAAAGCGUUAGUGAGUAAACUCAUAAGCCAACACAAUGAAUUAUAUCAGAUAUUGCUGCGCCUCAUUUACAGCUAAUACCCUUAGAUUAUAAAUAAGGAAUAUCAUUCGAAAUAUACCCUUUGACCACAUUGUGCAUAUAAACCUAUAAUCUUGGAAACAUCGACCAUCGAACCCAAACUUUACAGUUAAUUUACCAAUACACCUAAUGUGAUUGCCAUUUGCUCCAGUUAAUGAGGUUGAUAAAGCUUGCUCCAAAUAGUCCUCAACCCAAAGUUUUUUAACGACAUCUUCUCCUCACAUCCAGUAUCUGGGAUUGUUUUAAGUUUCCCGGUCUUGGUCCCAUCUUUAAGUUGAACAUCUAUGUCUAGAAUAACGUGAGAAGCUUUGUAUUUUGUAAAACCUACGAUAUUUGACUUUACAUUACAAUUGUAUAACUUUCAUAGUCCUGAUUUCUGGGAAUUUUUCUCGACUUUCACUCCUAUAUUUGCGUGAAAAGUGACUUGGUCUCUUUCAACUAUUACAGGUUGAAGCUGGGCAGUCUUCUUUAAUUUUUUACUUUAAAAACCCACAUCGACCCACAUUUUUAAAUAAGAUCUCUGUCCUGACGUUCCCUCCAAAUAGAACGGAUUGAAUUACGUCUAAAUGAUUCAUAACUCUUUUUUUCACCAUUGACUAAACUUUAAAAUGAAACCCAUAUAAUAAUUUUCAUAAUAAUAAAUUAAUAUUAAAAUCGUUUUUUUAUUUAUUUAUAAUGAGAAAAGUUAUUAUUUUUACAAAUUAUUUACAGUAUCAAUUAAAGUAAUAUUCAGACUAUUCAAUUAUUUAUUUCAGUCUUAACCCCUUUUGUAGAGGGGCACAAUUGAGCCUUCGCUUACAGAUUUCUAGUAU